rnacentral:rRNA from 1 species
CAGAUUGAACGCUGGCGGCGUGCUUAACACAUGCAAGUCGCGCGUGAAAGGACUUCGGUCCGAGUAAAGCGGCGCACGGGUGAGUAACGCGUGGAUGAUCUACCCAUGAGUUAGGAAUAACGGCUGGAAACGGUCGCUAAUACCAAAUACGCUCCGAUUUCAACUUCGGGGGAAAGGUGGCCUCUGCUUGCAAGCUACUGCUCAUGGAUGAGUCCGCGUCCCAUUAGCUAGUUGGUGGGGUAACGGCCCACCAAGGCGACGAUGGGUAGCCGGUCUGAGAGGAUGACCGGCCACACUGGGACUGGAACACGGCCCAGACUCCUACGGGAGGCAGCAGUGGGGAAUAUUGCGCAAUGGGCGAAAGCCUGACGCAGCGACGCCGCGUGAGGGAUGAAGGUCCUCGGAUCGUAAACCUCUGUCAGGAGGGAAGAACCGCCACGGUGCUAAUCAGCCGUGGUCUGACGGUACCUCCAAAGGAAGCACCGGCUAACUCCGUGCCAGCCGCAGC